CUGGGAGAGCGGUGUGCUGACCACACGCCCCUCCUAUCCGAUCCUCUACUGAGGAUGACACGGCGGUCGGAUGGUCCCGAUGGGCCACUUGUGGCCUGAAGAUGGAGUGCUUAUUUUCUUGUUUCAGAAAGUCAACACGAAAACGCAGACCUCCAGCCUACAGCCAGGAUUUUUUAUGGGCAAGAACACCAGUAGCUCCCUGCUAGCAGCAAACCAAAGGAAAACAGGUGCAGAGCAAAAUCUUCAUGAGCCAAAACUACAAGAAAACCCGUGUUCCAGGAUGCACAGCGUCAUCUUGAGGUUUCAUGAAGAAUAAGUCGUACGUAGAUGCAAAAGGUGUGUUAACCAUAUGACACAGCAACAAUCAGUAAUGAAUUCUGAAGUUUGUUUCCCAGAAAUUAUUCAAUCUUAAAAGAUCAUCAAAUAA